UGGUCUUGUCGGGUUUGUCUUCUAUCCUUUUGCUUAACAUCCUUGUGAUAGCUUGGGUUUUUGUUGCUUGGAAGGUUAAUUAAUCAACAACAUCAACAACUAACAAAGAAAUAUUUGAAUUGGCCUUCCUGAUUUUCAAAGCCUUCUUCGGUGACUCUUCUUGAAGAUAUCUACUUCUAAAUAGGAUUUGCUGCACCCAUCAACUCGUGGGAAUUUAAG
rnacentral:misc_RNA from 1 species